rnacentral:misc_RNA from 1 species
UGGAGCGGCGGCGCCGCACCAGCCAACCGGCCACUGUCCUCGCGCCGUCCGGUGCGUUGGCUGCGGCUGAUCACGGCGUGGGGGACGCCAAGUGACAUGCGAUGCCGAGGCGGCGGCGGCUCGCUGGAGCGUGCCGCUUGCUGUCGACGCGAAGGAAAUCAACAUGACUCUCGGCAACGGAUAUCUCGGCUCUCGCAUCGAUGAAGAACGUAGCGAAAUACGAUACGUGGUGUGAAUUGCAGAAUCCCGCGAACCAUCGAGUUUUUGAACGCAAGUUGCGCCCGAGGGUCCUGCCCGAGGGCACGCCUGCCUCAUGGGCGUAAUAAGCCCAUCAACGCUCAAGUGUCUUAGACCGUGUCACUUGUGACGGGCCAGGCCAGACUGCGGACGAUGGCCCUCCGAGCCAGAGU